AGACAACCAAAUCUUGAGUGUGGCAAAGCUGUUCCCAGUCAUUUCUCUUAUUUUCAAUGUCCCAUCCCAUCAGCUCGAAUUAAGGUGGGAGGAGGUAAAGCAACUAGAAGGGGCAGUUUUUAAGGCUGCACUGAGCAGAAGGUAAGAAAAUAUAAUAAAUUUUAUUUCGUGCCUUCUUGCCAAUUGUUAGAAAUGUGCAGUCCAUAUGAAUUCAUAUAACAAGGGAAUGUUGGGAAAACCAAUAAAGAUUUUGUGGUCUUAACUAUAAUGAAUGUAGUUUGAUAUAGAGUCUGUUUUUCGCUGCAUGGCAAAAUGAAUCAUAAAAUACUGGACCUUGAAACUCCUGCAUUUUUUAACAAUAGCCUGGGGACAGUUUACAGUGUAAUGAAUUGUAAUUAACCCACCUUCAAAAUCUUUUAUGAGUAUUUUGCCAAUUAGCUUCGCAUGCUUGCUAAUGACUCAUGGCCAGCGCAUGUCUUUGCAGAGCGGGGCUUUACAGAGCGGGCUUUUCCAGCGCACGCCGGCCUGUUCAUCAGCACAGGGACGCGGGACGGGGAGGCAGGCACAGACAGAAACCCAAAGAGCAAAAUAUUUUGGAAAAGCUGUGUGGUUGGAAGGUCUUUGGACUCCUUAACAGCAGGAGGAGAUGAAAAGCUCACAAGACAGGUUGUUCUCUGGAGGCUCUCUGCCCAAUCUGCAGGAGCUGAGGCAGGUCGAGUGUAUUUGGGGGGAUGGACUGAGGGACAAAACAUUCAGGUACUUUACAACUGUGCAGCCAAACCAUUUGUCACUUGUCUAGACACCUGUUUCAGAAGGGAAUAAAAUAAAAGAA